UUCCUGAUGGUCCAGUGGUUAAGACUCUGCUCUUCCAAUGCAGGGGCUCAGGUUUGAUCCCUGGUGGGGGAA
rnacentral:tRNA from 1 species